GCCCUGGUCGCUCGCGCCCCGCCGACGCCUCCUUUUUCUCUCCCUACCUCUGCGCUCUGCGGCCGCCGCUGAGAUCUGGGACGGCGGCACAUCCAGCCCGGGAGACGACUGGCUAGGAAAUAGAACUGUACAACUAAUUUGACAGGCAGUAUGAUAAGGAACAAUCUGAAUGACACGUAAACAGGAGGGGGUAAAUUCCAAGCACAGCCUGAAUGAGAAGUACAACUCAUUUCCUGUAACCUAGAUGCCUUUUUAACACAUCUAUGCAGUCUCCAUGUGAAACCAGGUGCUGUUCCCAAAGGAGAAAACACUGCCCUCCAGUGGUCUUCAAUGAAGAAAUGGAAAUAGUUUCAGGUGGAAACCAGGCUUCUUGGAAGACUUCAAACUAUGCCAAAUGGUCUGAUUUCACCAUAGAGAUUCUUUGCUGAAGAAUGCAGCUGUAUUAAAGGAAGAAAGAAAACCAAGCUACAGCUCCUUAUAAUUCAACAAGCAUUUAAAAGAUUUAUAAAGAUGGUGCAAUUAUGUAUUUAAGCUGCUUCAACACAAGUUCUUGCCUUUCACUCCCACCCUGUGGCUUACACUGGUAUUACAUCUAUUCU
rnacentral:lncRNA from 1 species